GAUGAACGCUAGCGACAGGCCUAACACAUGCAAGUCGAGGGGCAGCAUAAAGGUAGCAAUACUUUGGUGGCGACCGGCGCACGGGUGAGUAACACGUAUGCAACCUACCUGUAAGAGGGGAAUAACCCGGAGAAAUUCGGACUAACACCGCAUAAUACCACGAAGCUGCAUGGCUUUGUGGUUAAAUAUUUAUAGCUUACAGAUGGGCAUGCGUAACAUUAGAUAGUUGGUGAGGUAACGGCUCACCAAGUCAACGAUGUUUAGGGGUUCUGAGAGGAAGGUCCCCCACACUGGUAGUGAGACACGGACCAGAAUCCUACGGGAGGCAGCAGGGAGGAAUAUUGGUCAAUGGGCGAGAGCCUGAACCAGCCAAGUCGCGUGAAGAAGAAGGUUCUAUGGACUGUAAACUUCUUUUGUAAGGGAAUAAAAAAGCUUACGUGUAGGCUAUUGUAUGUACUUUACGAAUAAGGAUCGGCUAACUCCGUGCCAGCAGCCGCCGUAAGAC
rnacentral:rRNA from 1 species